CGUGUAGGCGGUUUAGCAAGCCUGGUGUGAAAUACUUCAGCUCAACUGAAGGAACGCGCUGGGAACUGUUAGACUAGAGUGAUGGAGGGGGAGUUGGAAUUCCAGGUGUAGGGGUGAAAUCUGUAGAUAUCUGGAAGAACACCGGUGGCGAAGGCGAACUCCUGGCCAUAUACUGACGCUAAUGCGCGAAAGCGUGGGGAGCGAACAGGAUUAGAUACCCUGGUAGUCC
rnacentral:rRNA from 1 species